rnacentral:rRNA from 1 species
UACGGAGGGGGCUAGCGUUGUUCGGAAUUACUGGGCGUAAAGCGCACGUAGGCGGCUUUGUAAGUUAGAGGUGAAAGCCCAGGGCUCAACCCUGGAAUUGCCUUUAAGACUGCACCGCUAGAAUUGUGGAGAGGUAAGUGGAAUUCCGAGUGUAGAGGUGAAAUUCGUAGAUAUUCGGAAGAACACCAGUGGCGAAGGCGACUUACUGGACACAUAUUGACGCUGAGGUGCGAAAGCGUGGGGAGCAAACAGG